CGCUGGCGGCUGCUUAAUACAUGCAAGUCAACUUGACUUUAGAUAGCAAUAUCGAAAAGUAGGGUGGCGCACGGGUGCGUAACGCGUAGGUUAAUCUGCCCUGAGGUCUGACAUAACCCGUCGAAAGGCGGGCUAACAUCAGAUGAUAUAUAAUCACGACAUCGUGGAAAUAUCAAAUCUUCGGAGCCUUGGGAUGAGCCUGCGUCUGAUUAGGUAGUUGGCGGAGUAAUAGCCCACCAAGCCUACGAUCAGUAGCUGGUCUGAGAGGAUGAUCAGCCACACUGGAACUGAGACACGGUCCAGACUCCUACGGGAGGCAGCAGUAAGGAAUAUUGCUCAAUGGGGGGAAACCCUGAAGCAGCAACGCCGCGUGAAGGAUGAAAUACUUUUGUAUGUAAACUUCUGUAAGAUGGGAAAAAUAUUCUCCUCGGGAGAAUUGAUUGUACCAUCAGAGUAAGCCCCGGCUAACUACGUG
rnacentral:rRNA from 1 species